rnacentral:rRNA from 2 species
GAGCAUUGCGGGUGCUAUACAUGCAGUCGAGCGGACAGAUGGGAGCUUGCUCCCUGAUGUUAGCGGCGGACGGGUGAGUAACACGUGGGUAACCUGCCUGUAAGACUGGGAUAACUCCGGGAAACCGGGGCUAAUACCGGAUGCUUGUUUGAACCGCAUGGUUCAAACAUAAAAGGUGGCUUCGGCUACCACUUACAGAUGGACCCGCGGCGCAUUAGCUAGUUGGUGAGGUAAUGGCUCACCAAGGCAACGAUGCGUAGCCGACCUGAGAGGGUGAUCGGCCACACUGGGACUGAGACACGGCCCAGACUCCUACGGGAGGCAGCAGUAGGGAAUCUUCCGCAAUGGACGAAAGUCUGACGGAGCAACGCCGCGUGAGUGAUGAAGGUUUUCGGAUCGUAAAGCUCUGUUGUUAGGGAAGAACAAGUGCCGUUCAAAUAGGGCGGCACCUUGACGGUACCUAACCAGAAAGCCACGGCUAACUACGUGCCAGCAGCCGCGGUAAUACGUAGGUGGCAAGCGUUGUCCGGAAUUAUUGGGCGUAAAGGGCUCGCAGGCGGUUUCUUAAGUCUGAUGUGAAAGCCCCCGGCUCAACCGGGGAGGGUCAUUGGAAACUGGGGAACUUGAGUGCAGAAGAGGAGAGUGGAAUUCCACGUGUAGCGGUGAAAUGCGUAGAGAUGUGGAGGAACACCAGUGGCGAAGGCGACUCUCUGGUCUGUAACUGACGCUGAGGAGCGAAAGCGUGGGGAGCGAACAGGAUUAGAUACCCUGGUAGUCCACGCCGUAAACGAUGAGUGCUAAGUGUUAGGGGGUUUCCGCCCCUUAGUGCUGCAGCUAACGCAUUAAGCACUCCGCCUGGGGAGUACGGUCGCAAGACUGAAACUCAAAGGAAUUGACGGGGGCCCGCACAAGCGGUGGAGCAUGUGGUUUAAUUCGAAGCAACGCGAAGAACCUUACCAGGUCUUGACAUCCUCUGACACCCCUAGAGAUAGGGCUUCCCCUUCGGGGGCAGAGUGACAGGUGGUGCAUGGUUGUCGUCAGCUCGUGUCGUGAGAUGUUGGGUUAAGUCCCGCAACGAGCGCAACCCUUGAUCUUAGUUGCCAGCAUUCAGUUGGGCACUCUAAGGUGACUGCCGGUGACAAACCGGAGGAAGGUGGGGAUGACGUCAAAUCAUCAUGCCCCUUAUGACCUGGGCUACACACGUGCUACAAUGGACAGAACAAAGGGCAGCGAGACCGCGAGGUUAAGCCAAUCCCACAAAUCUGUUCUCAGUUCGGAUCGCAGUCUGCAACUCGACUGCGUGAAGCUGGAAUCGCUAGUAAUCGCGGAUCAGCAUGCCGCGGUGAAUACGUCCCGGGCCUUGUACACACCGCCCGUCACACCACGAGAGUUUGUAACACCCGAAGUCGGUGAGGUAACCUUUAUGGAGCCAGCCGCCGAAGGUGGAACAAGAGGG